GAUGAAGAACGUAGCGAAAUGCGAUAAGUAAUGUGAAUUGCAGAAUUCAGUGAAUCAUCGAAUCUUUGAACGCACAUUGCGCCCGCCAGUAUUCUGGCGGGCAUGCCUGUUCGAGGGUCAUUUCAACCCUCAAGCCCCCGGGCUUGGUGUUGGGGAUCGGCGUGCCCUCGCGGCGCGCCGUCCCCUAAAUCUAGUGGCGGUCUCGCUGUAGCUUCCUCUGCGUAGUAGCAACACUCGCACUGGAUCGCAGCGCGGCCACGCCGUUAAACCCCCCACUUCUGAAAGUUUGACCUCGGAUCAGGUAGGAAUACCCGCUGAACUUAAGCAUAUCAAUAAGCGGAGGA
rnacentral:misc_RNA from 1 species